rnacentral:rRNA from 1 species
CCAGACUCCUACGGGAGGCAGCAGUGAGGAAUAUUGGUCAAUGGCCGAGAGGCUGAACCAGCCAAGUCGCGUGAGGGAAGACGGCCCUACGGGUUGUAAACCUCUUUUGUCGGGGAGCAAAGCGAGUCACGUGUGACUCAUUGAGAGUACCCGAAGAAAAAGCAUCGGCUAACUCCGUGCCAGCAGCCGCGGUAAUACGGAGGAUGCGAGCGUUAUCCGGAUUUAUUGGGUUUAAAGGGUGCGCAGGCGGAAGCGAAAGUCAGGGGUAAAAUUGAGGGCCCCACCCUCUCCCCGCCGUUGAAACUGCGUUUCUUGAGUGGGCGAGAAGUACGCGGAAUGCGUGGUGUAGCGGUGAAAUGCAUAGAUAUCACGCAGAACUCCGAUUGCGAAGGCAGCGUACCGGCGCCCAACUGACGCUCAUGCACGAAAGCGUGGGUAUCGAACAGGAUUAGAUACCCCCGUA